rnacentral:rRNA from 1 species
UACGUAGGGGGCAAGCGUUGUCCGGAAUCAUUGGGCGUAAAGAGCGUGUAGGCGGUUCGGUAAGUCCGCUGUGAAAGUCCAGGGCUCAACCCUGGAAUGCCGGUGGAUACUGCCGGGCUAGAGUCCGGAAGAGGCGAGUGGAAUUCCUGGUGUAGCGGUGAAAUGCGCAGAUAUCAGGAGGAACACCGAUGGCGAAGGCAGCUCGCUGGGACGGUACUGACGCUGAGAAACGAAAGCGUGGGUAGCAAACAGG